CGAAUGGGGAAACCCAGUGUGAUUCGUCACACUAUCAUUAACUGAAUCCAUAGGUUAAUGAGGCGAACCGGGGGAACUGAAACAUCUAAGUACCCCGAGGAAAAGAAAUCAACCGAGAUUCCCCCAGUAGCGGCGAGCGAACGGGGAGGAGCCCAGAGCCUGAAUCAGCAUGUGUGUUAGUGGAAGCGUCUGGAAAGGCGCGCGAUACAGGGUGACAGCCCCGUACACAAAAGCGCAUGUGCUGUGAGCUCGAUGAGUAGGGCGGGACACGUGGUAUCCUGUCUGAAUAUGGGGGGACCAUCCUCCAAGGCUAAAUACUCCUGACUGACCGAUAGUGAACCAGUACCGUGAGGGAAAGGCGAAAAGAACCCCGGCGAGGGGAGUGAAAAAGAACCUGAAACCGUGUACGUACAAGCAGUGGGAGCACCCUUCGGGGUGUGACUGCGUACCUUUUGUAUAAUGGGUCAGCGACUUAUAUUCUGUAGCAAGGUUAACCGUAUAGGGGAGCCGGAGGGAAACCGAGUCUUAACCGGGCGUUAAGUUGCAGGGUAUAGACCCGAAACCCGGUGAUCUAGCCAUGGGCAGGUUGAAGGUUGGGUAACACUAACUGGAGGACCGAACCGACUAAUGUUGAAAAAUUAGCGGAUGACCUGUGGCUGGGGGUGAAAGGCCAAUCAAACCGGGAGAUAGCUGGUUCUCCCCGAAAGCUAUUUAGGUAGCGCCUCGUGAAUUCAUCUCCGGGGGUAGAGCACUGUUUCGGCUAGGGGGCCAUCCCGGCUUACCAACCCGAUGCAAACUGCGAAUACCGGAGAAUGUUAUCACGGGAGACACACGGCGGGUGCUAACGUCCGUCGUGAAGAGGGAAACAACCCAGACCGCCAGCUAAGGUCCCAAAGUCAUGGUUAAGUGGGAAACGAUGUGGGAAGGCCCAGACAGCCAGGAUGUUGGCUUAGAAGCAGCCAUCAUUUAAAGAAAGCGUAAUAGCUCACUGGUCGAGUCGGCCUGCGCGGAAGAUGUAACGGGGCUAAACCAUGCACCGAAGCUGCGGCAGCGAACGUAUCACCCAAGACAACUUUACGGAGUUGACGAUUGACGGAGCGAAGCGACGUCAAAGCGUUCAUUAAAGUCGAGUUGGCUUAGGGAUACGUUCGUUGGGUAGGGGAGCGUUCUGUAAGCCUGUGAAGGUGUGUCGUGAGGCAUGCUGGAGGUAUCAGAAGUGCGAAUGCUGACAUAAGUAACGAUAAAGCGGGUGAAAAGCCCGCUCGCCGGAAGACCAAGGGUUCCUGUCCAACGUUAAUCGGGGCAGGGUGAGUCGACCCCUAAGGCGAGGCCGAAAGGCGUAGUCGAUGGGAAACGGGUUAAUAUUCCCGUACUUGGUGUUACUGCGAAGGGGGGACGGAGAAGGCUAUGUUGGCCGGGCGACGGUUGUCCCGGUUUAAGCGUGUAGGUGUGUGUUCCAGGUAAAUCCGGUUCACUUUAACACUGAGGCGUGACGACGAGGCACUACGGUGCUGAAGCAACAAAUGCCCUGCUUCCAGGAAAAGCCUCUAAGCAUCAGGUAACACGAAAUCGUACCCCAAACCGACACAGGUGGUCAGGUAGAGAAUACCAAGGCGCUUGAGAGAACUCGGGUGAAGGAACUAGGCAAAAUGGUGCCGUAACUUCGGGAGAAGGCACGCUGACACGUAGGUGAAGUGAUUUACUCAUGGAGCUGAAGUCAGUCGAAGAUACCAGCUGGCUGCAACUGUUUAUUAAAAACACAGCACUGUGCAAACACGAAAGUGGACGUAUACGGUGUGACGCCUGCCCGGUGCCGGAAGGUUAAUUGAUGGGGUCAGCGUAAGCGAAGCUCCUGAUCGAAGCCCCGGUAAACGGCGGCCGUAACUAUAACGGUCCUAAGGUAGCGAAAUUCCUUGUCGGGUAAGUUCCGACCUGCACGAAUGGCGUAAUGAUGGCCAGGCUGUCUCCACCCGAGACUCAGUGAAAUUGAACUCGCUGUGAAGAUGCAGUGUACCCGCGGCAAGACGGAAAGACCCCGUGAACCUUUACUAUAGCUUGACACUGAACAUUGAGCCUUGAUGUGUAGGAUAGGUGGGAGGCUUUGAAGUGUGGACGCCAGUCUGCAUGGAGCCGACCUUGAAAUACCACCCUUUAAUGUUUGAUGUUCUAACGUGGACCCGUAAUCCGGGUUGCGGACAGUGUCUGGUGGGUAGUUUGACUGGGGCGGUCUCCUCCUAAAGAGUAACGGAGGAGCACGAAGGUUGGCUAAUCCUGGUCGGACAUCAGGAGGUUAGUGCAAUGGCAUAAGCCAGCUUGACUGCGAGCGUGACGGCGCGAGCAGGUGCGAAAGCAGGUCAUAGUGAUCCGGUGGUUCUGAAUGGAAGGGCCAUCGCUCAACGGAUAAAAGGUACUCCGGGGAUAACAGGCUGAUACCGCCCAAGAGUUCAUAUCGACGGCGGUGUUUGGCACCUCGAUGUCGGCUCAUCACAUCCUGGGGCUGAAGUAGGUCCCAAGGGUAUGGCUGUUCGCCAUUUAAAGUGGUACGCGAGCUGGGUUUAGAACGUCGUGAGACAGUUCGGUCCCUAUCUGCCGUGGGCGCUGGAGAACUGAGGGGGGCUGCUCCUAGUACGAGAGGACCGGAGUGGACGCAUCACUGGUGUUCGGGUUGUCAUGCCAAUGGCACUGCCCGGUAGCUAAAUGCGGAAGAGAUAAGUGCUGAAAGCAUCUAAGCACGAAACUUGCCCCGAGAUGAGUUCUCCCUGAGACUUAGAGUCUCCUGAAGGAACGUUGAAGACGACGACGUUGAUAGGCCGGGUGUGUAAGCGCAGCGAUGCGUUGAGCUAACCGGUACUAAUGAACCGUGAGGCUUAACCUU
rnacentral:rRNA from 1 species